GUGGGGAAUAUUAGACAAUGGGCGCAAGCCUGAUCCAGCCAUGCCGCGUGAGUGAUGAAGGCCCUAGGGUUGUAAAGCUCUUUCACCGGAGAAGAUAAUGACGGUAUCCGGAGAAGAAGCCCCGGCUAACUUCGUGCCAGCAGCCGCGGUAAUACGAAGGGGGCUAGCGUUGUUCGGAAUUACUGGGCGUAAAGCGCACGUAGGCGGACAUUUAAGUCAGGGGUGAAAUCCCGGAGCUCAACUCCGGAACUGCCUUUGAUACUGGGUGUCUGGAGUAUGGAAGAGGUGAGUGGAAUUCCGAGUGUAGAGGUGAAAUUCGUAGAUAUUCGGAGGAACACCAGUGGCGAAGGCGGCUCACUGGUCCAUUACUGACGCUGAGGUGCGAAAGCGUGGGGAGCAAACAGGAUUAGAAACCCGUGUAGUCC
rnacentral:rRNA from 1 species